UACGUAGGGGGCAAGCGUUUGUCCGGAUUCAUUGGGCGUAAAGAGCGUGUAGGCGGCCAGGUAGGUCGGUUGUGAAAACUGGAGGCUCAACCUUCAGAGGUCGACCGAAACCAUCUGGCUAGAGUCCGGGAGAGGAGAGUGGAAUUCCUGGUGUAGCGGUGAAAUGCGCAGAUAUCAGGAAGAACACCCGUGGCGAAAGCGGCUCUCUGGAACGGUACUGACGCUGAGACGCGAAAGCGUGGGGAGCGAACAGG
rnacentral:rRNA from 1 species